CUUGGUCAUUUAGAGGAAGUAAAAGUCGUAACAAGGUUUCCGUAGGUGAACCUGCGGAAGGAUCAUUAUCGAUUUUUAAAGAUGUGCUGGCACUCCUUCACCGGUUUGCAUGUGCACUCUGCAAAAUCUCCUUCUCUUACCCCACUGUGCACACCCAAGUAGACAAACAGUGUUACAGAGCAAUCUGUGUAAUUCCUGAUUUGCCUAUGUUUUUAUCAAACACCAAUAACAAUAUCAGAAUGAUCUAUAUAGUAAGCUUUAACAAGCUGAAAUUUAAUACAACUUUCAACAAUGGAUCUCUUGGUUCUCGCAUCGAUGAAGAACGCAGCGAAUUGCGAUAUGUAAUGUGAAUUGCAGAAUUCAGUGAAUCAUCGAAUCUUUGAACGCACCUUGCACCCUCUGGCAUUCCGGAGGGUAUGCCUGUUUGAGUGUCAUUAAUCUCUCAACACAAGAAACUUUGUCUCCUUGUGCUUGGAUAUUGAAGGUUUUGCUGGCGCAAACAACUGUCAGCUCCUUUUAAAUGUAUUAGCAGAGCAGUAUAGGACUGGCCUCGGUUUGAUAAGAAACUUUAUCUAUGCUGUCGCUGGGUUUUCCUCUUUGUGCUCAGCUUCAAAUUGUCUUCGGACUGUCUCUUGAGGCAACAAAAUCUCUAUUGAUCGACCUCAAAUCAGGUAGGACUACCCGCUGAACUUAAGCAUAUCAAUAAGCGGAGGA
rnacentral:rRNA from 1 species